rnacentral:rRNA from 1 species
AUGUACACCGACUGGGAUGAUAAAUCAAGAAUCCUUAAAUGGAUAAAAGCUAAGAAGAUAUUCACAAGACAAUAUGUAUUUGUACCUAUUGUUAUUUGGGGACACUGGAGCCUUCUUGUGUUGUGCAAUUUUGGCGAGACCAAGUACUUGGGUACUAAGAAGGGGCCACGCAUGCUGCUACUGGAUUCACUUAAAAAGGUGAAAGCGAAGAGGUUAUAACCAAUCAUCCACAGAUUCAUUGUUGAUAUUUUAAAAUUCGAAGAGCGGGAAGAGUUAGAGCAGUUCAUAAAUGAAGUCGAACUUGAGUUUCCUAAGGUGCCACAACAAAGUGGAGUAGAUUGUGGUAUGUAUGUUCUUUACUUCGUGUACUGUUUUCUCACGAUCGAAAAACUGGGAGAAGAUUUGAGCCAUCUGGUAUAUGUCACCCGCUUCAAACUUUACACAACAUUCCUGUUUGUGCUUCACAAAGUCUUUUACUAA